GGACCUAAGGCGAGGCCGACAGGCGUAGUCGAUGGACGACCAGUUGAUAUUCUGGUACCGGUGUAGCACCGUCCGUGUCGAGGUGUGUGAUGCUAAGCGUGCGAGUGUCCUGGUGAUCCCUUCGGGGUGAUCUUGUGGCGUGAGUGUGUGAACCGAUCAUGUAGUAGACAAGCUGCGGAGGGACACAGUGAGGUAGCUCGUCCCCGGCGAUGGUUGUCCGGGGCUAAAUGUGUGGACUGUCUGGUAGGUAAAUCCGUCAGGCGUUGAGUUGAGGCAUGAUGGCGAGCCAUGUUUGUGUGGUGAGCGAGUGAUCCUGUGCUGUCGAGAAAAGCUUCGUGAGCGAGGUGUGAGCCGCCCGUACCCUAAACCGACACUGGUGGAUUGGUAGAGUAUACCGAGGCGAUCGAGAGAAUCAUGGUGAAGGAACUCGGCAAAAUGCCCCCGUAACUUUGGAAGAAGGGGGACCUGAGCUGUUGCCGCCACGUGCUGGUGGUUGCGGUGAGGGGCGCAGAGAAUUGGGGGAAACGACUGUUUACCAAAAACACAGGUCCGUGCGAAGUCGUAAGACGAUGUAUACGGACUGACUCCUGCCCGGUGCUGGAAGGUUAAGAGGAACCAUCAACCCCCCUUUCGGGGUGAAGUGGGGAUUUAAGCCCCAGUAAACGGCGGCCGUAACAAUAACGGUCCUAAGGUAGCGAAAUUCCUUGUCGGGUAAGUUCCGACCCGCACGAAAGGCGUAACGAUUUGGGCACUGUCUCAACAACAGACUCGGUGAAAUUGUAGUACCGGUGAAGAUGCCGGAAACCUGCGACAGGACGGAAAGACCCCAUGGAGCUUUACUGUAGCUUAGUAUUGAAUUUAUGUAAUUAAUGUACAGAAUAGGUGGGAGGCGAAGAGAUUAGGUCGUCAGAUUUAAAGGAGCCGCCUUUGGGAUACCACCCUUUGAUUAUGUGAGUUCUAACCGGAAUCUUUGAAGCAAGGUACGGGACAGUGCUUGGCGGACAGUUUGACUGGGGCGGUCGCCUCCCAAAGAGUAACGGAGGCGUCCAAAGGUUCCCUCAGCAUGGUCGGAAAUCAUGCGAAGAGUGCAAAGGCAAAAGGGAGCUUGAUUGCGAGACCAACAAGUCGAGCAAAGACGAAAGUCGGGCUUAGUGAUCCGGUGGUAGAAAGUGGAAUUGCCAUCGCUCAACGGAUAAAAGCUACCCUGGGGAUAACAGGCUGAUCUCCCCCAAGAGUUCACAUCGACGGGGAGGUUUGGCACCUCGAUGUCGGCUCAUCACAUCCUGGGGCUGGAGUAGGUCCCAAGGGUUGGGCUGUUCGCCCAUUAAAGUGGUACGCGAGCUGGGUUCAGAACGUCGUGAGACAGUUCGGUCCCUAUCCGUCGCAGGCGUUGGAUAUUUGAGAGGAGCUAUCCUUAGUACGAGAGGACCGGGAUGGACGCACCACUGGUGUACCAGUUGUCUUGCCAAAGGCACAGCUGGGUAGCUAUGUGCGGAUAAGAUAAGUGCUGAAGGCAUCUAAGCACGAAGCCAACCUCAAGAUAAGAUAUCCCAUACGCAAGUAGUAAGACCCCAUUAAGAAUAAGUGGUAGAUAGGCAAGGAGUGGAAGUGCAGUAAUGUAUGUAGCUGACUUGUACUAAUAGGUCGAGGAC
rnacentral:rRNA from 1 species